ACCUCCUUAAUCGAAGAUCUCAGCUUCUUCAUAAGCUCCCACACGAAUUGCUUGAUUCACUGGUUAGACGAUUGGGUCUGUAGCUCAGUUGGUUAGAGCGCACCCCUGAUAAGGUGAGGUCGGCAGUUCGAAUCUGCCCAGACCCACCAAUUGUUGGUGUGCUGCGUGAUCCGAUUACGGGCCAUAGCUCAGCUGGGAGAGCGCCUGCUUUGCACGCAGGAGGUCAGGAGUUCGAUCCUCCUUGGCUCCACCAUCCAAACAAUCGUCGAAAGCUCAGAAAUGAAUGUUCGUGAAUGAACAUUGAUUUCUGGUCUUUGCACCAGAACUGUUCUUUAAAAAUUCGGGUAUGUGAUAGAAGUAAGACUGAAUGAUCUCUUUCACUGGUGAUCAUUCAAGUCAAGGUAAAAUUUGCGAGUUCAAGCGCGAAUUUUCGGCGAAUGUCGUCUUCACAGUAUA
rnacentral:tRNA from 1 species